rnacentral:rRNA from 1 species
UACGGGGGAUGCAAGCGUUAUCCGGAUUUAUUGGGCGUAAAGCGCCUGUAGGUUGUUUAAUAAGUCUGUUGUUAAAGACUAGGGCUCAACCCUGGGAAAGCAAUGGAAACUGAUAAACUUGAGUAUGGCAGGGGUAGAGGGAAUUUCUAGUGUAGCGGUGAAAUGCGUAGAUAUUAGAAAGAACACCGGCGGCGAAAGCGCUCUACUGGACCAUUACUGACACUCAGAGGCGAAAGCUAGGGGAGCAAAAGGGAUUAGAUACCCCUGUAGUCCUAGCCGUAAACGAUGGAUACUAGAUGUUGCGCAAUUUGUGCAGUAUCUUAGCUAACGCGUUAAGUAUCCCGCCUGGGGAGUACGCUCGCAAGGGUG